AUUGAACGCUGGCGGCAGGCGUAACACAUGCAAGUCGAACGGUAGCACAGAGAGCUUGCUCUCGGGUGACGAGUGGCGGACGGGUGAGUAAUGUCUGGGAAACUGCCUGAUGGAGGGGGAUAACUACUGGAAACGGUAGCUAAUACCGCAUAAUGUCGCAAGACCAAAGAGGGGGACCUUCGGGCCUCUUGCCAUCGGAUGUGCCCAGAUGGGAUUAGCUAGUAGGUGGGGUAAUGGCUCACCUAGGCGACGAUCCCUAGCUGGUCUGAGAGGAUGACCAGCCACACUUGAACUAGGACACGGUCCGGACUCCUACGGGAGGCAGCAGUGGGGAAUAUUGCACAAUGGGCGCAAGCCUGAUGCAGCCAAGCCGCGAGUAUGAAGAAGGCCAUCGGGUUGUAAAGUACUUUCAGCGAGGAGGAAGGCAUUGUGGUUAAUAACCGCAGUGAUUGACGUUACUCGCAGAAGAAGCACCUGCUAACUCCGUGCCAGCAGCCGCAGUAA
rnacentral:rRNA from 1 species